GGAGGGGGAGUUGGAGCUGGGAGAGGGAGGAGACUCGCCACGCCACCUCAUCUUUAGGAAACUCUGAAGCCCUGGCUUCUUGUGGAAUGUAGGGCUUUGUCCGGCACUUGGAGUGUAGGGGGAGCAAAAGCCAGAAUCUCCACCCCCCCACCCCCAAGAAUGGUAAAGUCAUCAGCAGUUGGGGGAAAAAAUUCCUCAAGAAGAAAAACAGAAAGAGGAAAGUGCUGAGCUCUGAGUUCUGUCUCUCUCCAAAUUUCCCCAAAUGUUUCCCCUCAUGAGGGAGGGAGAGGACCCGUCUGGGCUCUGAAGUCUGGAACAGGAGCAGAGGCUGCCCAGGUAUAAAUGUACCAGGCCUUCCAGAGUUCACUCUGCCCAUCUACAGAAGCAGCUGAGGUGGGAGAGGACGGCAUGAGAGACAAGACCACCGUAUCAUUCCAGCCCCAAUCGGAGAGUCCCAGACAACAGCUCCAGGCUCUCAGCUGGGCCCUGUGGCCCGAGGGGGAAGGGAGCAUGGUGGGCAGGGAGGAACUGCCACCUGGAAGGGCUUGAUGGGAACCAGCUGGCUGGGGUGGGGCCUUGGGAGUGUGGGUUGCGGGGAGGGCGGGGCCGGAGGCCACAGUGGGCGGGCAACUGACAGCUCAGGGCUGGGAGUGGCUGCUGGAGGCCCCCACCUUCCCUGAGGCUGGAGUCCAGAUGCCUCCACAGCCGUCCAGGCUCUUCCAACCCGCUGACCUCAUUCCCAGCUCCCUCCCGUGCAGCCCCCCUCAAUUGUCUGCCACGUAGACUGGAGCCUCAGCAACAAUCUCCGUAGGGGUGGCUGCGAGAGGAGCCAGGCACACUUAGCCCAGGAAACCUGCUAAGCCGGAGGGAGCUAGGGAAGGUAGCUGUGACCACUCGGUGCCUCAGUUUCCCCUCCCCAAACACGAGUCCCAGUGAAUGGAGAAGAGCGAGGUGUGAAGCGGGUUACAGUUGCUAAACAAGACUCAAGGUGUUGGGGGACCCUAGAGGUCACCCCAACCAUCCCUCAGUGUCUUGGGUCUGGAGUGUAUUGCUCUCAAGAAGGGGCAGAGGUGCGUGCGCAGGCUGGGGGUGUGUGUGUGGGGUCCCUCCUUUGUCAAAGGAAGUUCCCAGAAAGUUUGAAAUCCUUUGUGAAAUCUAGGCCCCCCCCCCCCCCCCCGCCACCUCAGGCUGCAUUAGGCUACAAUUUGCCAUUUUAUAGCAGAGAUAUAGUGAGACGAAUGUAGUGUCCUCUCCCUAGGCACCUUAGGGACCUCACCGUGAGUCCCUGGACUGAGCUCUCUCUACCUCUGACCUCUGUUUCUCCCUUGCCUCCCUGUCUCAGAGUGAGUGUCCCAGUUGACCCUGACUGACCAGGAAGCCAUCCCCAUUCCUGCUGGCCCACAGAGUUCCAGGCUUGUGAGUCAUCGGGGAAUGUCUGUUCUGCCUGCAGCUCCCAAACUCUAAGCCAGGGACCCUCUUGUUUGACAGGAGUCCUGGAAGCAGAGAGGAAGUCUUGCUUAAAGGAAAUCCACAAGUGAGCCAGAGGGCUUGGCCUCUCCCAGAGACGGUCCCUGCCUAAUGGCCGGCUUCAUCCAAGGUGGGGGAGCGGCAGGUAUGGAGGGGCUUAGGACACUUUAGUGUCUGACCUGGCUGGGGGGGGGGAAGCCAUGAGCC
rnacentral:lncRNA from 14 species